rnacentral:rRNA from 1 species
CCGAUUAGAGUUUGAUCCUGGCUCAGGAUGAACGCUGGCGGUGUGGAUAAGGCAUGCAAGUCAAGGGGCCCGCAAGGGCACCGGCGAACGAGGUAGUAACACGUGGGAACAUACCCUUUAGUCAGGAAUAACUAGUCGAAAGAUUAGCUAAUACUUGAUAGUCUCUUCGGAGUAAAGAUUUAUCGCUAAAGGAAUGGCCUGCGGAGUAUCAGCUAGUUGGUAGGGUAAUGGCCUACCAAGGCUAUGACGCUUAGGGGAGGUGAGAGCCUGGCCCCCACCGAUGGAACUGAGACACGGUCCAUACACCUACGGGUGGCUGCAGUCGAGAAUAUUUGGCAAUGGGCGCAAGCCUGAUCGAGCGACGUCGCGUGAUCGAUGAAGUCCUUCGGGACGUAAAGAUCUUUUGUGAGGGAAGAAGUUUAUUGACAUUACCUCAAGAAUAAGGGGUUGCUAAACUCGUGCCAGCAGGCCGCCGGUA